AAGGGAAGUAGUUCAGUUACGCUAGCUUGACUUUGACAACCGUAACAUGUAGAUGUGAUGUGGAAUUAGGUGUGAAACUUUUCAGUUAGUUU